AGACGUAGGGGGCGAGCGUUGUCCGGAAUUACUGGGCGUAAAGGGCGUGUAGGCGGCCUAGCAAGUCAGUUGUGAAAUCCCAGGGCUUAACCCUGGGCUAGCAACUGAAACUGUUAAGCUUGAGUGCAUCAGAGGAGAGCGGAAUUCCUAGUGUAGCGGUGACAUGCGUAGAUAUUAGGAGGAACACCCGUGGCGAAGGCGGCUCUCUGGGGUGCAACUGACGCUGAGGCGCGAAAGCUGGGGGAGCGAACGGGAUUAGAUACCCCGGUAGUCCCAGCCGUAAACGAUGGUCACUAGGUGUAGGAGGUAUCGACCCCUUCUGUGCCGCAGCAAACGCAUUAAGUGACCCGCCUGGGGAGUACGGUCGCAAGACUGAA
rnacentral:rRNA from 1 species